UAAAGGCGGACAGGUGCACAAGCAAUUCAUCGGUUUUUUCAUGCCACACCGGACCGUAAAAAAUCGGAAUGCCGGACGGUAAAAUUCCUUGUAGUGCACAAGCGCCCGUACAAUAGAAAAAUCAUGG